rnacentral:rRNA from 1 species
CUCGAUUCAGUGGUUGGUGGUGCAUGGCCGUUCUUAGUUCGUGGAGCGAUCUGUCUGGUUAAUUCCGAUAACGAACGAGACUCUUGCCUGCUAAAUAGACGGCGUCGCCUCUGGUCGACGACCGCAUCGCUUCUUAGAGGGACAAGCGGCUUUUAGUCGCGUGAAGCGGAGAGCAAUAACAGGUCAGUGAUGCCCUCAGAUGUUCGGGGCCGCACGCGCGCUACACUGUGUGCCUCAGCGUGUUCAACCCUCGCCGGCGGGCGCGGGCAAUCCCUGGAACCGCACACGUGCUAUGGAUCGGAGAUUGCAAUUAUUCUCCGCGAAAGAGGAAUUCCUUGUACUCGCGAGUCAUCAGCUCGCAGGGAAUCCGUCCCUGCCCUUUGUACACACCGCCCGUCGCUACUACCGAUUGAGUGGUUUAGUGAGGCUCACGGACUGCGCGCGGCACUCGGCGCUUUCGGGCGUCGCGUCGCGCGCGGAAAGUGCGACGAACUUGAUCACUUCUAGGAAGUAAAAGUCGUAACAAGGUUA